CUCCGCAAAGCAAUGCAGCUGAACGAGUAAAUCGCUCGAUAAUUACAGCUAUCCGUUCGUAUCUUAAGAAUGAUCAAACCGACUGGGAUGUUAAUUUAACUUGCAUUUCAUCCGCUUUGCGAUCGGCAUUGCAUCAGUCUCUUGGAUGUUCUCCUUACAAAGCCCUUUUUGGUUUUAAUAUGAUUAACCACGCUGAGGAUUACCGAUUAUUAAAGAAUUUAUCACUUCUAGAAGAAUCCCCUACAAUAGAUCGGCACGAAAAGUUAUUUUUGUUACGCCAAAAUGUGAAAACAAAUAGUCGAAAAGCCUAUGAAGAGAAUGCAAAACAGUACAACUUGAGGAGUAAGAAUAGUUCAUUCAAAGAAGGUCAAGAAGUUUUCAAACGAAAUUUCCAGUUAAGUAACUUUAGUCAGAACUACAAUAAAAAGUUAGGCCCGUUGUUUUCGAAAUGCAGAGUGAAGAAGAAAUUGGGAAACGCUUAUUAUUUGCUAGAAACCCUGAGUGGAAAAGAGCUUGGAACUUAUCAUGCCAAAGAUAUAAAAUGCUAAUUCCAGCUAAUCAUGUCUCCGGAUUACUCGACAGAUUAUCUGUGGUUGUAAUGGUCACCUGUGCUGCCCAUUCGAGUUUCAAAAAAAUUAGAUUAGAAUAACGUCUAAUCUUAACGAAACUCUCCACUUUUAUCGAUAGGUGUUAGCAAUUUUUUUUGUUUUAUUCAUUCCUAAUGUGCAUACUAGGCGUUCGUACUUACCUUGACAUUAGCCCUAGCAGCUUAUUAGGUGCCUUCAAAAGUCUUUUUCUUUUUUGAGCUGUCAAACUAAGCAGACGCACACCUUAGUACCAGCUACAACAUAUAUAUAAAUCAAGUGGGUGAAACACGUGCAAAUUGAUCACAACAAAAUAAAACAAAUUAAAUCUGAAAAAUCCCCACAUAACAUUGGGCAAAGAAGUAAAGCAAAGACAUCAUUAAAGUCGCAAACAAACCUAGCCUGGGAUCAGGCGUCUUCUAUGGCCGAAAAUCCACGAGAGUCCCACCCGCACCACCUGGAUUCCAUACCUGGAUCAUUACACAUAGUUUUUAUCAGGAUGAGUAACCCUAUCAAAAAUAAAAAAACACCCACUUAGUCUAUCCCGUCUACAUUUAUUCGCAAAUCAAUACUGAUACACCGGAUAGGAGAAAUUUCGGAUAUCACCUAUAAAUAUAAAACGAUAUCAAAGUAUACAAUAGCGAACGAGAGUCGCCUUCCAAUCGUUUAUUACAUUUCUGUUGUUGUUCACAAACACAAAAAUUAAAUUACAUUAAAAUAUUACGAACUUAUAUUGAACUAGAAAUU